rfam:Triticum aestivum genome assembly, contig: Triticum_aestivum_CS42_TGACv1_scaffold_225670_3B
UAUUUAUUCCCUCCGUCCGAAAAUACUUGUCAAGAUAUAAAAUAGAUGUAUCUAAAACUUAAAUACGUUUAAAUACAUCUAUCCCCGCGACAAGUAUUUCCGGACGGAGUGAGUAUUCA